ACCACGGUGGUCUAGCGGUCAUAACGCUGGCCUUGUAAUCCUGGGGUCUCGGGUUCGAUUCCCGGCGGUG
rnacentral:tRNA from 1 species